AGAAUGGGAACCAUUAGAUAAACAACAUGAGAAUUGAAUCCAAAGGAAAAAGCAGGCAGUAAUAUAUAACUUUAGUUGUUUGGAACAUCAAACAAAUUGGUCUUAUGAGAUUGAAACUAAAACAAUCAAAAUAAGGCUACUCUUUGAACACAACAUUAUAUGCCGAACUUUAUGCCUCCGUGGAAGACAACACCAUGCUGCAAUAGAUGUGUUUCAGACGCAACAAAGUUGGCAACAAACUUAGCAACUCAAAGUGUUCCCAAAUAUAAGAGCGUACUUUAGGAGCACGAGACAUGAUUGCACUUGAACCUAAAAAAAAGAAGAUAAAUCAUAAGUUAGAAUAUUAUUUUUUGUUGAUAAUAGAACAACACUACAAAAGUAUAUCACCAAACAAAUAGCGUAUUAAACUUACCACUUAAGUUACAAGUUGCAACUAUACAUCAAACAAUGCUAGUAGUACUUCCAUUAUUUUCCAUAUCUAAAGAUAAUUCGACCAAAUAUGUCAUACAAAUAAUGCUAACAAAUUGAGACUAAUGCUAAAAAAUUGAGAACUUGCUCAUAGAAUUGAACACUUUCCCAUUCUAUAUAUCUUUCUCUUAUAAGAUCAAUUCCUCUCUUUAAUUCACACUCUAAUUACCGAAUUAGCGAUAAUCUUGGAAUCAAUAAUAAGUAGUAGAUGAAUGAAGUACUCCUUAAAUUUCUAUGAGAAACUUUACAUAAAAGUGCACAUGUAUAUAUAAGCACACAAAGGAGAGAAGGGCUAAACUAUCUGAGAGAUCCAACUACUUAUUCCAGAACUUAUUUUAUGAAAAGAUUGGCCAUUAAAAAAAAAUAAGUGGCAGAAUAUCGUGAUCAAAUUUCCUUAAUCAACCUAUAAAUAUAUCCACAUAUAGAGAUAACCAGUAAUCAUGAGUAUAUGAAGUUCGAAUAUGCAAAAUAUUUCUCAUUAUAGCACUGGAAUGCAUACACCGAGCAAGGGAUGAAACUCCUAACUAUCAAAAUAUGCCAGAAGAGGAAGUGAUGAAGCUCAUGUAAUCAACCUAUACAUACAAUUUUAGUCGAAAGAAUACACAACUUAGCUCUAAAAUUUUGCAGUGACCAAGUAGAUCCUCAAACAAUGUGAAAAAGAAAAACUUAUAUCCACAAAGAGUUUUUCUUAUUCCAAGAACUACCAAUUAAUCUACCAUAAAUUAUUAUAAAAAAGUCAAAGAUGAAGAAUGAAAAGUUAUGAACCUGUUGAAAAGUUGAAGAUUGAAGAAUGAAGGUAAACAAUAAGGAAACGAGCAGUCACACUUGAGAGUCGUUGGCGCCGAGGUCGUAAAGUCGUCGUGACGCCGUCUCUAUCGCACUCCCAGAUGGACAGACCGCAGUCGAUCUGUUUCUCAGAUCUAAGGUUUCUCAGUUCUCACUUCUCUCUCACAGCCGAUCUGUUCAGUACUUAGGUUUCUAAUUACUAAUUCCUAUAGUGAAACUAGGGAAAGAGGGUAAGGA
rnacentral:lncRNA from 1 species